UUUUUUUUUUUUUUUGGUACAGCAAUAAAGCCUCAAAUGAUUAAUUAAGGGCACAAUGCCAAAACAAGUGUCUUUGUUUAAAACGCAGUGGACAAGACAGCCUUGGGAAAGUUGAUGUCUUAAGUAGGCGCCACAACAUGUUUUUAAUUAUGUUCAGGAAGACGAACAAGAAUAGGAAUCGCCAACUGUUUAGAAAGAUAAUUUUUUUUUUCUGAAGAAAGAUUAGAAUUAAAAAAAACAAACAGAGCAUUAUUGAUUUAACACAAAUGCCAUUUGUUGGGCCUUUUGUAAUUUCCUUAUUAGUGUCAUCAUUCUGGAGUUCACAUUCCCCCUUCUGUUACAGCGUUUGGCAUUUGUUCAGCUCUCAGCAAUAUGAUACAGUAAACACGCAGUGACUGCUCAUAUUAAAAUGUUUUAUUUGUUGUAAGUGUACAGAUGAUCAAACAGUGCACGUCCUAAAUUAUCCCAAUCAUUGCCCAGGCUAAUAGGAAGAGAGGGAAUCAGUGACCGUCUCUAUGAGACGAACAGGCUAGCCUAGGGUGCAGGGCUAAGCUGUCAGUUGGAAAAGAAACAACAGCAGAAAAGUUCAUGCAACAUCAGUUCUCCAUUGCACCAUCAUGAAAGCACCCCAUUGCUCAGUUGAAACAGACAUCAGCCAGCUAGGAUGAUAUACAGAGUGAAAGAUGUGUUUGGAAGCAGCUUAACUUUGGGUUGUAUCAGGCAGUCAGGUUCCAUUUGGAUCAAAGUAUCUGAUCUCAAUAUUAACAGUAAUGACAGGUUGGGCUUUAAACAAGGCCAGCUCUAAAUUGUAAAAUGCUGAAGACGAGCAGGAGCUCAACGGUUUGACCCCUUUCCUCCCAACUGUCAGGAAAUGGCUUCAACUCAUUUGGAAAUUGAUGGAUUUCCACUGUGGAGUGGGGGCAAUGGGCUCUGUAUUUCAAGAAGUCACUUAGACAUAUCACUCAUAUGUACACAUAGCUCCCUGUCUUCCUCCUUCUUGUCCUACUAUAUUUUGAGAAAUGGUUAAUUAUUCAUUUUGCUAGUAAGUAAUGAUUUUAUCUUAUCGAAUGCUUUAACGAUAUUAGAGACUGGCUUGAGAACCACACAAAAGAUGCUCUGUCUUUCAUACGUUCCUGGGUUGCUUUUCUCCACUAAUGUGGUUUGAGUACCUGCUUGGUACUGGACUCUGUGUCGAAUGCUGGGGACACCAGGAUGAAGAAGGAGGACCCUUCCUCAAAGGGCUCAGACACCAGACUCAAAGAACUGAAAGGGACAGCGUUUCUGUGGAGGGACAGGCAUUCUGGAGAAACCUGGCGGUUUCAUGGGGAGUCCAGGCACAGCCGGACACAAGCUCUGCUUUCUCCCCAGGAGGACACUGAGAUCUCGUGAUGCUGAGAUUUAUUCAAUAACCCAGAGGGUCUCAUGUUUGCUAACAACCCCUUAAAUCAGGGUGGCAAACUAUGACCCACAGGCCAAAUGCGUCCUGUGGCCUCUUUUUGUAAAGUCUGCAGGCUGAGAAUUGUUUUUACAUUUUUAAAUGGUUGGAAAAAAUUAAAGAAGAAUAAUAUUUCAUGAUAUGUGAGAAUUACAUGAAAGCCAGAUUUCAGUGUCCAGAAGUAAAGUGGUAUUGGAAUGCAGCCACACCUGUGUGUAUUGCAUGGCACUGCAUUUGUACUGUGUAAUGAUUUUGUUCUGCACCAUAAUGAAAAAGCAGAAACAGGCAACCUGCAUGUGAAGGCCAUGGUUGUGUUCUAAUAAGACCUUUCCACUGGUUGUAGUGGGCCA
ensembl:lncRNA